rnacentral:rRNA from 1 species
CCUACGGGAGGCAGCAGUAGGGAAUAUUGCUCAAUGGGGGAAACCCUGAAGCAGCAACGCCGCGUGGAGGAUGAAGGUUUUCGGAUUGUAAACUCCUUUUGUUAGAGAAGAUAAUGACGGUAUCUAACGAAUAAGCACCGGCUAACUCCGUGCCAGCAGCCGCGGUAAUACGGAGGGUGCAAGCGUUACUCGGAAUCACUGGGCGGAAAGAGCGCGGAGGCGGGAUAGCAAGUCAGAUGUGAAAUCCUAUGGCUUAACCAUAGAACUGCAUUUGAAACUGUUAUUCUAGAGUAUGGGAGAGGUAGGUGGAAUUCUUGGUGUAGGGGUAAAAUCCGUAGAGAUCAAGAGGAAUACUCAUUGCGAAGGCGACCUGCUAGAACAUAACUGACGCUGAUGCGCGAAAGCGUGGGGAGCAAACAGGAUUAGAUACCCCGGUAGUC